rfam:Salmo salar isolate Sally breed double haploid chromosome ssa14, whole genome shotgun sequence.
UGCACUCCCUACUGUAAGUCGCUCUGGAUAAGAGCGUCUGCUAAAUUACUAAAA